UGCACACUGCAAAGGCUGAACUCUCUUCCACUCAACGCUGAGCAGAGAGACACUAUGGAAAGAGGCCAGAGCCAAGACGAAAUCCCAACCUACUGUGGGUGGUCCAUCUUCACCUGUCUCUGCUGCUGUUGGCCUUUAGGAAUUGCUGCUCUGAUCUACUCCAACAAGGUGGACACGGCCAAUGCUUCUGGAGAUUUCCAAAAAGCUGCUGAUGCAUCAAGCACUGCCAAGACCCUGAACAUUAUGGGAAUAAUCUGUGGAAUCAUUCUUCUUAUUGUCCUUGCCUACCAAAUCUAUCAGAGGCAAGGUGCUGACCUAAAAAUCCAUUGAUUACCAAGCUUUUGUUUUUUCUAUCAUACACGGGAUUCGUAAAUGAAAGAAAAAGUCAGCAUGCUUCUCUUCACAAGUCUUUGUGUCAUUACUUUCUUCAGAUGAACAAAGCAAGAACCAUGAAAUGCCCGUGGUAUGACCUGGAAAAAAAAACAAAUAUAUGUAUGCACUGUUGCAUGAAGGCUGUGUGAAACUGUCACAUUCACUCUUAUUGUUUUGGUUUUGUGUUGCAAACGCAAAAUGAUGGAGCGCAGAUCUGGUGUGUAAAAAGUUAUAAAAAGAGAUUUUUGAAAAAAAUCUUAAUGAAAAAAAUCUUAUCACGAAAAAGCUCAUGUUAUAUGCUUUCUAACAAAAUAAAGCUUGUGCUUAAAAUUCA